UGUUUCAUCAAAACACACCCAAAGUUUUAAUUCCAUAUUAUCUGGAAGUUAACAGUUUUGCUUCUGGAAAUUUCAUGGACACAUUCAUGAUUGUCAUGAGAGCGAGAACCCUUCCAGACAUUUGGAUCAUCACAGUUUCCGGUUUCUUGUUGGUUAAACUGGGCUUUGCUGUUGGACUAAUUUGCUGCUUGAAGAGGAUGAACAGCGAUUUAAAAGAAUCAUCAAGUGGUACAGAUAAACAGAACAAUUGCUCCAAAUUGGGUGAAAUCUUAGAGCUUUGGCAUGUUUCCUGAUUUAAAUGCCAGAAAGUUCCUUGUUUCCACUUUCCACAAGACUCAA